UUUCCGUAGGUGAACCUGCGGAAGGAUCAUUACCAAUAUGAAAGCGGGUGGGGAGCCACAGAAGCAUGAGCUCCGGCUUGUGCCUUUGCCCCAUCUGUCUGAAUAUUCACCCAUGUCUUUUGCGUACUAUUUGUUUCCUUGGCGGGCUUGCCCGCCAGCAGGACAUUAUUAAACCUUUUGUAAUUGAAGUCAGCGUCAGAAUAACUUAAUAGUUACAACUUUCAACAACGGAUCUCUUGGUUCUG
rnacentral:misc_RNA from 1 species